AACGCACCUUGCGCUCCUUGGUAUUCCGAGGAGCAUGCCUGUUUGAGUGUCAUGAAAUUCUCAACCUAUAAAUCUUUGCGAUUUUAUAGGCUUGGACUUGGAGGCUUGUCGGCUUUUAUGAGUCGGCUCCUCUCAAAUGCAUUAGCUUGAUUCCUUGCGGAUCGGCUCUCGGUGUGAUAAUUGUCUACGCCGUGACCGUGAAGCGUUUGGCGAGCUUCUAACCGUCUCUUGUGAGACAGCUUUUUGACAUCUGACCUCAAAUCAGGCAGGACUACCCGCUGAACUUAA
rnacentral:misc_RNA from 1 species